rnacentral:rRNA from 1 species
UACGAAGGACCCGAGCGUUAUCCGGAUUCAUUGGGUUUAAAGGGUGCGUAGGCGGAGUGAUAAGUCAGUGGUGAAAUCCUGCAGCUUAACUGCAGAACUGCCAUUGAUACUGUCAUUCUUGAAUGUAACUGAUGUGGGCGGAAUGUGCCAUGUAGUGGUGAAAUACUUAGAUAUGGCACAGAACACCGAUUGCGAAGGCAGCUCACAAAAUUAUUAUUGACGCUGAUGCACGAAAGCGUGGGGAUCAAAC